UGUAUAGGAUAUAUAUCCCUUGUAUACUAUAGAUAUAUAUGUAUUAUAUGAACAUGUUUGUUCAACUAUAUUUUGUAAUGCUUUUAUAACAACUCACUAUGAUUCUUUUAUAUAUAUUGUACUAAUAUAUAUAUUUUUGUCUUCUAUAAAUUUCAAGUGAAUCCUUUAACAUCUUUGUUUUGUUUUUUCUCUUUUUACAUUUUUAACAUUACCUUUUAAUAUUGAUUACAAUAAAAUUUUUAUUUUCAUGUUUUGUUGCAUUCAUAUAUUACAUUGCUAUUGUUACUAUUAUUAUUAUCACUAUUAUUAACACUAUUAUUAUUAUCACUAUUAUUACAAUUAUUAUUAUUAUGUAGAGUUUUUAAAAUUUUGCCUUUUUUUUUUUUUUUUUUUUUUUUGCAUUUUAAAGCUGUUCAAGUAGAUUAGCCUAUCAUUUUUUGAUUAGAGACAAAUGCAGUAUUAAAAGGGAAACAAAACAAAACAAAACAAAUAAACAAAUAAACAAAUAAACAAACAAAUAAACAAAUAAACAAAUAAACAAAUAAACAAACAAACAAAUAAACAAACAAACAAAACAAACGGAAUAUACAUAAUAAUGCGGAAUAUAAUCAACAGUAAAAAUGUCUGACUCUGCGUAUGGAUUUAUGGAAAAUGUAGUACACAUAACAGGGUAUCUGCAUCGUUUGUUAUUUCUUAUGAUAGAACUUGAUAAAAAAGGACAUAAUAUGAAUAAGACUAUACAAAAAAAAGAAGAAAUUUAUAUUGAUAAUUUAAAUUGUAUUCGUAAAGGAAAAACUUCAAAAUAUCAUAAACGUAGUUAUGAUAAAAAAAGAAACGAAUCAAAACUUCACAAAAGGAGUUCAAAUAAGUACAAUGAAGGAAAUAAUAAUUACAACAACGGGUCAAACGAAUAUAAUAAUAUAAAUACUAAAAAUAAUGAUAUAAAUAAUUUUGAAAAAAAUAAUAUAACAAACAAAUUAAUGUAUAAUGAAGGUUUAUUUGAAAAUACACCAACUUUAAAAAUACGUGUACGUUCUAGUAAAGAUAUGGUAGAUAAUAAUAUUAUUAUGGCUAAUAAUGAAAACACAAAAUACGAAAAUUUAAUGACACCAUAUAUAAAUAAUAAUAACAAUAACAAUAAUAAUAAUAAUAAUAAUAAUAUAUCAGAAGAAAAUGCAAAUAAUAUCAACCUAAAUGAUAACAAUAAAAUUAAUAUUACAAAACCGAAUACCAACAUAUACGGUGAAUGUAGUAAUGAAUUUUAUUAUAUAGAAAAUAAAAAAACCGAAUGUGAAUUUAUCAACAAUGACAACAAUAAUAACAACAACAAUGACAACAAUAAUAACANNNNNNNNNNCAAUGACAACAAUAAUAACAACAACAAUGACAACAAUAAUAACAACAGUAAUAACAAUGUUAGUAAUCCGAAUAAACAAAAUAAUGCGAACUUAAAAGAUUUUAAUCUUAUUUCUACUCAAAAUGAGAAAAUCGAAAAAAGGGAAUUGAUAAACAACAGUACUAUAAUUACUGGUGAUAUUUCUAACAUGACUUUAAACCAAAAUAGUAAUACAACAAAACAAGAACAAAUAAAUAUAGAUGAAAAUAAUAUAAAAAAUAGUAUAGAAAAUAAGAUUAUUUCAUUAUUAACAGAAAAAAAUUUGGAAAUUUAUAAUAAAAAUAUUAAGUUAACAAAAGAAAUAAAUAAAAAUAUAAACAAAGAAAAUAUUGUUACUGAUGUAUUAUCACCACAAACAUCUAUACAACUUAAAUUAAAAAAUGAAUAUAUAAAAGAGAUAAAUAUAGAAAAAGAGGAAAACAAAAAUGACCAUAUAAAACAAUGUCCAGUAGUAUAUACAGAGCAAGAAUUAAAUACAUGUUAUAAUGAUAUAGUAAAUGAUAGAGAACAAUGUAUUGCUUUAUUAAGAGAAAAGAUUUGUAUAAAUAAUCAAAUAUCACAUAUGAUUAAAAACUAUUAUGAAAAAUUAAAAAAACAAUAUGAUCAAUUAUAUACAGAAAUGGAAAUGAAUGGAGAAUCACCUCUUAACUUAUACAAUUUAAAUAAAAAUAAAUAUUUUUAUUCCGAAUAUGAUGAUUAUUAUUAUAAUAAUAAUAAUAAUAACAUUGAAAACGAUUAUAUUAACAAUAACAAUAUUAAUAACAAUAUUAAUAACAAUAACAAUAUUAAUAAUAGCUAUAAUAACAGUAAUGUAAAAAAUAAAAAUGAAAACUUACGUAGAGCUAAGAGUACUGUUAGUUACGCAAAUACAAAUUACACAUACGAUAUAUACGACUAUGAUAAAUUUAAAGACGAAUAUGAUGAUGAUGAUGAUAGUUAUGUAGUUAAUAAAACACAUGGAAGAAAACAUUCCAUUAAAUAUGAUGAAGAAUAUAAUCCUUAUAGUGUAGACAGAAGUAAAAAAAAUAAAAAAAUAAAAAAAAGUAAAAGUUUAAGUCAUGUUAAUAAUAACACAAGUAAAUAUUUAAAAAUGAUAAAUGAAAAAACUAAUAUUAGUAACAAUACUAUAAUUAAUAAAGAUGCUAAUAUAGAUAAUAAUAAAUAUGUCAAUAAUGUUAAUAAUGUUAAUAAUAAAGAUAUUUAUAACACAACUAAUCAAAAUGAAAAUAUAAAAAAUGUCAACUACAUACAUAAAGUACGAAUAAAUAUACAAUCGGUCAAACACAAAUUUAACAAAAAUACUCCCAUCGAAUUAAAUAACGAAAAAAAAUAUUAACAAUAUAAAACAAAAUAAAGAUGACCAUUCAUAUAAUAUGCA
rnacentral:lncRNA from 1 species